GUGACGUGUGGGGAGGCGGAGCUUGUCUCGACCAAUCCGAGCUUCUCCUUCUCCUUGGCCACCAUGUUCCGGAAGAGGAGGACCCUCUGCAAGGACAGGACAGGAAGGACCGCCCUCAGAGGCCGCCAGGGCAGGAAGGUGUUGCCCGUACUUGCGCAGCCAGUGGUCGUCCGGGGCGAAGCGUCUCCGGCAGUCCCGCUCGUAGAGGACCAUCAGCCACCCGUGGACCGAGUGGAAGAGCUCCAGGGUCUCCCCUUUGGCGCUCUCUAGACAGGGAAGAAUAGUAAUAAAUAAUAAUAAUAAUAAUAAUAAUAAUAUACGUAUGGAUGGAUGGAUGGAUGGACGUGGGGUGGGGUCCCCGGCCGAUGCCCGUGAGAGCCCUUACCCACGAUGCCGUCCCAGAUCAUCUUGAAGACGAAGGAGUUGAGGAAGGAGGAGAUGGUCACCAGCUCUUCCAGCUUGAAGGAGACCUGCUCCUCGUACACCUCAAUGUCGUCCAGGAUCCUACAAGAUAGAAUAGUUGUUGGUUUAUGGUUGUAUGUAUAUGAAAUGUAAAUCAAGUGUUUUCCGCUGUUUCAGCAAUGAAACAGUUAACAGCAGGCUAGUUUUGACUGACAGCCUGCUAUGACCUAUCAGGCAUGAUUUCCGGCCUUGGAAGUCGGGAACUUCCUUCAGACUGAGGAAUGUGCUUUCUUAUCUCUGCGAGUGUUGAGCUGGUGCUUGCCGAGCGAAGAGGCUAAAGAAGAAUGCCAGCUCAGAGCGAUGGCUUUUGCUGUGCUUUGUAAAUAUGUUUGUAGAUAUUGAAUAAAUGUUUGGACUUCAGACAACAGAUGUGUUUGAGUCUGACAUUGAAGAGAGGAAUUGGUGUGGCAGACGAUUGCAUUGGAUUAUGGUUGUAUGUAUAUGAAAUGUAAAUCACGUGUUUUCUGCUGUUGUGCAAAAGUGUGUUUCAGAAAUGAAACGGUUAACAGCAGGCUAGUUUUGAUUGACAGCCUGUUGUGAUUUCUAUGACCUAUCAGGCAUGGUUUCCUGCUUUGGAGGUCGGAACUUCUUUCAGACUGAGGAAUGUGCUUUCUUAUCUCUGCGAGUGUUGAGCUGGUGCUUGCCGAGCGAAGAGGCUAAAGAGAAUGCCAGCUCAGAGCGAUGGCUUUUGCUGUGCUUUGUAAAUAUGUAUUAUAGAUAUUGAAAUAAAUGUUUGGACUUCA